rnacentral:rRNA from 1 species
UGGGGAAUAUUGCACAAUGGGCGCAAGCCUGAUGCAGCCAUGCCGCGUGUAUGAAGAAGGCCUUCGGGUUGUAAAGUACUUUCAGCGGGGAGGAAGGGAGUAAAGUUAAUACCUUUGCUCAUUGACGUUACCCGCAGAAGAAGCACCGGCUAACUCCGUGCCAGCAGCCGCGGUAAUACGGAGGGUGCAAGCGUUAAUCGGAAUUACUGGGCGUAAAGCGCACGCAGGCGGUUUGUUAAGUCAGAUGUGAAAUCCCCGGGCUCAACCUGGGAACUGCAUCUGAUACUGGCAAGCUUGAGUCUCGUAGAGGGGGGUAGAAUUCCAGGUGUAGCGGUGAAAUGCGUAGUGAUCUGGAGGAAUACCGGUGGCGAAGGCGGCCCCCUGGACGAAGACUGACGCUCAGGUGCGAAAGCGUGGGGAGCAAACAGG